UACAGAGGUCUCAAGCGUUGUUCGGAUUCAUUGGGCGUAAAGGGUGCGUAGGUGGCGUCGUAAGUCAGGUGUGAAAUCUCGGAGCUUAACUCCGAAACUGCAUUUGAUACUGCGGUGCUUGAGGACUGGAGAGGAGACUGGAAUUUACGGUGUAGCAGUGAAAUGCGUAGAGAUCGUAAGGAACACCAGUGGCGAAGGCGGCUGACUGGACAUGUAUUGACGCUGAGGUGCGAAAGCGUGGGGAGCAAACAGG
rnacentral:rRNA from 1 species